rnacentral:rRNA from 1 species
UGGCGGCCAUAGCGCGGUGGACCCACCUGAACCCAUGCCGAACUCAGAAGUGAAACGCCGUAGCGCCGAUGGUAGUGUGGGGUCUCCCCAUGCGAGAGUAGGACACUGCC